UUGUUGCGGGAGCGAUAGCAGCGGCAUCCUUUUUGUAAAGCUUAAAAUAGACCGAAACUUCAUUCUUUAUAUAAUUUUUAAUUAAUUGUUUAAAUAAUAAAAUUGGUACUAAUCUGCUUUAUAAAAAGAUACAGCGAAUAGCGCGGUUUUUA
rfam:Algibacter lectus DNA, contig: contig00010, strain: JCM 19300.